rnacentral:rRNA from 1 species
AACGCGAAGAACCUUACCCAGGCUCGAAAUGCAGAUGACGAUAUCAGAGAUGGUAUUUUCCGUAAGGACAACUGCAUAGGUGCUGCAUGGCUGUCGUCAGCUCGUGCCGUGAGGUGUUGGGUUAAGUCCCGCAACGAGCGCAACCCUUAUCAUUAGUUGCCAACACGCGAGGUGGGGACUCUAAUGAGACUGCCUAGGUUAACUAGGAGGAAGGUGAGGAUGACGUCAAGUCCGCAUGGCCUUUAUGUCUGGGGCUACACACGUGCUACAAUGGGCGGUACAGAAGGCAGCAAGACCGUAAGGUGGAGCAAAUCCGUAAAACCGUCCUCAGUUCAGAUUGUGGUCUGCAACUCGACCACAUGAAGCUGGAAUUGCUAGUAAUGACGUGUCAGCAACAACGUCGUGAAUACGUUCCCGGGCCUUGUA